GUGGCUCAGUGGUACAGCAUCUGCUUGGUGCAGAAGGUCCCAUGUUCAAUUCCUGGCAUCUCCA
rnacentral:tRNA from 1 species